rnacentral:rRNA from 1 species
GACGAACGCUGGCGGCGUGCCUAACACAUGCAAGUCGAGCGGAGAUGUACGGAAGGUUUACCGGAAGUACAUCUUAGCGGCGGACGGGUGAGUAACGCGUGGGCAACCUGCCUUUUUACUGGGGGAUAACACAGGGAAACUUGUGCUAAUACCGCAUGAUAUCACAUGGGGCAUCCUGUGUGAUCAAAGGAGCAAUCCGGUAAAAGAUGGGCCCGCGUCCGAUUAGCUAGUUGGUGAGGUAACGGCUCACCAAGGCGACGAUCGGUAGCCGGACUGAGAGGAUGGUCGGCCACACUGGGACUGAGACACGGCCCAGACUCCUACGGGAGGCAGCAGUUGGGAAUCUUGGGCAAUGGGCGAAAGCCUGACCCAGCGACGCCGCGUGGAGGAAGAAGUCCUUCGGGGCGUAACGUCCUGGACUGGGGGACGGAGGGAAGGACGGUACCCCGACGUAGAAAGGGACGGGCGUAACUACGUGCCAGCAGCCGCGGUAACGGCGUACGUAGA